rnacentral:rRNA from 1 species
CCUACGGGAGGCAGCAGUGGGGAAUAUUGCACAAUGGGGGAAACCCUGAUGCAGCGACGCCGCGUGGAGGAAGAAGGUCUUCGGAUUGUAAACUCCUGUCCUUGGGGACGAUAAUGACGGUACCCAAGGAGGAAGCACCGGCUAACUACGUGCCAGCAGCCGCGGUAAU